CUCCGGGAGGGCGCUUACCACUUUGUGAUUCAUGACUGGGGUGAAGUCGUAACAAGGUAACCGUAGGGGAACCUGCGGUUGGAUCACCUCCUUACCU
rnacentral:rRNA from 1 species